GUAACAAGGUCAAGAUUAAGGGGAUGGCGGGGUAUGGCUUUGAAAAGAACCUGGCCUUGGAGUGGGCGUGGUUGGGAGGUGAUCGGAUUUCCACCAAACUCUCCUGGCUGGAGCACACAGUGACAGGCCAGUCCCAGCUCGCCUUCACUGUGCCUUCUCCUCCAAGCUGUGUUGGUCACAGCUCCGGCCAGGACUUACCCGCCCGUCUCACUGGCAGCAUGAAACCUGCGCUGCUUCUCCAGCUUCUGCUGUUGACUCGCUUAGCACCUCAGCUGGUGUCUGGGAGUCCCAAGCAACAUUUUACGAGUUCCAUACACAUUAGCUGCCAAUGAAGAUGAGCAUCGUGUCUCUGAUCUUUGAAAUAUCGUCGGCCACGGAACAAGGCAGAGCUGUGGAAAGAGCCCCAUCCCUGAAAGAUCAUGCGAUUAAAUCACAUGAUAAAAGAUCAGCUAAUUUAACAAUGAUCUACUAAACCUCCAACUACUGUAGAAGAUGCUGCUUCCCUCUGCAAGGCCCAGGUACAUGUUACCCACUUGGAAAGGUGUGGUCACCCAGUCCCAUGAUUCUACGUCCCCCGAAUCACAUCCCCUCCAGAUGAACGUUUCCCAAGAUGAAUGCAUCACAAUUCCACAUCCUCCUCCUCUCAUCUGCGACACCCUUCUAACCAGGCUGAUCCCUGGUAAUAACUGGAAGCUCUGCAGUCGCCUUUAUCACCACGAAUUGUCCAGAGGUGGUUCCAGUUGACCACAUGAGCCAGGCCUCUCGCCUUAAUGUUGGCCCAUUCAAACUGCAGCUGUCACGGUUUGAAUCAUCUGACCUUGAUCUGUCCAUUACCAGAGCACUGGUCACAGGAGUCUAUUUAAAUGUAAAUUUAUAUUAAUUACAAUUCUACAAAAUAAAAUAUGCCAUCAGCUUCUCA
ensembl:lncRNA